UACGUAGGGGGGCAAGCGUUGUCCGGAUUUAUUGGGCGUAAAGAGCGUGUAGGCGGCCAGGGAGGUCCGUUGUGAAAACUCGAGGCUCAACCUCGAGACGUCGGCGGAAACCCUCUGGCUAGAGUCCGGAAGAGGAGAGUGGAAUUCCUGGUGUAGCGGUGAAAUGCGCAGAUAUCAGGAAGAACACCCGUGGCGAAGGCGGCUCUCUGGGACGGUACUGACGCUGAGACGCGAAAGCGUGGGGAGCAAACAGG
rnacentral:rRNA from 1 species